AACGAACGCUGGCGGCAUGCCUAACACAUGCAAGUCGAACGGACCCUUCGGGGUUAGUGGCGCACGGGUGCGUAACGCGUGGGAAUCUGCCCUUGGGUUCGGAAUAACUCGCCGAAAGGCGUGCUAAUACCGGAUGAUGUCGUAAGACCAAAGAUUUAUCGCCCAAGGAUGAGCCCGCGUAAGAUUAGCUAGUUGGUGGGGUAAAGGCCCACCAAGGCGACGAUCUUUAGCUGGUCUGAGAGGAUGAUCAGCCACACUGGGACUGAGGCACGGCCCAGACUCCUACGGGAGGCAGCAGUGGGGAAUAUUAGACAAUGGGCGAAAGCCUGAUCCAGCAAUGCCGCGUGAGUGAUGAAGGCCUUAGGGUUGUAAAGCUCUUUUACCCGGGAUGAUAAUGACAGUACCGGGAGAAUAAGCUCCGGCUAACUCCGUGCCAGCAGCCGCGGUAAUACGGAGGGAGCUAGCGUUGUUCGGAAUUACUGGGCGUAAAGCGCACGUAGGCGGCUUUGUAAGUCAGAGGUGAAAGCCUGGAGCUCAACUCCAGAACUGCCUUUGAGACUGCAUCGCUUGAAUCCAGGAGAGGUGAGUGGAAUUCCGAGUGUAGAGGUGAAAUUCGUAGAUAUUCGGAAGAACACCAGUGGCGAAGGCGGCUCACUGGACUGGUAUUGACGCUGAGGUGCGAAAGCGUGGGGAGCAAACAGG
rnacentral:rRNA from 1 species